ACUCCCCUGACACCUGCACAACCACCCCCAUCUCUCACAGGCUACAGGGGCCCUUUUCUCCAGCCAGGCCAAAUCAUAGCUCCUUCCUGUUCCCCGGCAAUUCGGUCUGCUUGCAGGGAGGGUAUUGCUCGCUGCAGGCAGCCAGUUCUACCCGUGAGCAGCUUGGCACCUUGGGACCUCUUCUCAGCCAGAUUCCUCCCUGGAGUGAGGAUGCUCCUCAAGGUCACGCCUUGAGGCUGAGAGAAAUGUUUGCCCGUGGUCAUUGGUUUGGGUUCCACCUGCACAUUGGAUGGGAGAGAAGGUCACAGAAAGCUGUCAGCAAACAUGGAGCAAAAGGACCUCUGGACAGCAAGGCAAGGAGAUCCCUACUCUGAGACCCUGAACUGCACCAGACAACACUGGGGGCAAAAAGCUCUCGCGGGGGGCUGUGCAAGAGAGGCCAGUGUGUGUGUGCAGGGACAUGGCACCAGGGAUGGGGCAGUGGAGUGAAGGUGCCCUUGUGAAAGCCAGGGUCUGCCACAAGAGAGAGAACAAACAACGGGGUGUGUCCACAGCAGGGACAGGGAGAGGCAAGGGAAUGAGCAGAUGUCUCCAAAGCACUGCCUGGGCUGAGGUGCCAAGUUCCAGAGGAGCCUGAGGCUCUGCAGAGGCAGUGAAAGCCCAAUUUACCUGCUCGCCACUUCUACUGGGCACAGUGGAUAAUUCAGGCCUCUCUCUCUUCUUCUCUGCUGAUGGACCUGGCUGCUUAGAUUCCAGGCUGGUCCUCGAGCCAUGUAACAGCUGCUCCUCUUGUGCUCCAACAGCCUGCUGGGUAUGCAGAGAGAUGAUUCCCAUAUUUCAAACACCACAGAAGCUGUCCCUCAGAAAUCUCCAUCUCGGGAAGCAUCCUAGAAGCACCAGCAGUGCAGCUGCUGUUCAGCCCUCAGAACAAAACUCAGCUGGGUUUAGUCCAUCACUCUGCUCACCUGCUCCAUUCCUUUGCACACAGAAUCCAAACCCCCAUGUGUUGCCUCCCCUUGUGUGGGCACAGGAGAAGCAGCUCCCAUGCCCAGCUUUUGGCCUAGAGCUGGUUUGAACAGUGAGCUCCUGCACAGGCAGCCCAGGGCCAGGGAGCAAAUUCUCCCUCUCCCAAACAUCAGAGUAUUCCACACCGGGAGCAAAACACAAUAUGGGCAACCAAGCCCAGGGGAAGAAUGAGCCUUCAAGCAGUCCCGAGGCCUUGAAAGUCAUCUAACUCUUCUUUCCUGACACCACAGGCUUCUGUUCCAGAGGAGCCUGAGGCUUUGCAGAGGCAGUGAAAGCCCAAUUUACCUGCUCGCCACUUCUCCUGGGCACAGUAGAUAAUUCAGGCCUCUCUCUCUUCUUCUUCUCUGCCGAUGCAAGCAGUUUCUUAGAUUCCAGGCUGAUCCUCGAGCCAUGUAACUGCUGCUUCUCUUGUGCUCCAACAGCCUGCUGGGUAUGCAGAGAGAUGAUUCCCAUAUUUCAAACAUCACAGAAGCUGUCCCUCAGAAAUCUCCAUCUCGGGAAGCAUCCUAGAAGCACCGGCAGUGCAGCUGCUGUUCAGCCCUCGGAACAAAACUCUGCUCCCUUUAGACCAUUCUUUAGCUCACCUGCUCCGUCCCUUGGAAUGCCACGGCAUGACCAGCCCAUGCUGCCUCCCCUUGCAAGGGCACGGGAGGAGACGCUCCCAUGCCCAGCUUUUGGCCUGGAGCUGAACAGCAAGCUCCAGAGCUGGAUCAGUCGUUCCAGGCGUGCCAGGAAACAAUCUGGCAGUCAGUGGUCUCUGGCUGGAGCCAGGCAGACAGACAAGGCUGCCUGCUGCAGCCCGGGCUGCUUUACCCAAGCAGGCCUGCACUGACAAGGAUAGAGACCCACCUCUUCAUGGGAAACAUCUCUGGAAUAAUUCAGGGACGCUGCAGGAGACUGCAAGUCAAUGCCAGUGUCUGCUUGGAUACGAGUCUUUCCCUUCAGGAAGGCCAAGCGUUUCUGCAGAGCCCCUUUGGCAAUUUUAAACGUGGUCAGUGCAGCACUCAGAGUGUUCCCUCUUUCUUCCUUCAAAGCAGCAGCCCCAUGUUUCAACUCUUCCUGCAUGGUUUCCUUUUCACUGUCCAAUUGUUGCAUUCUUUCCUGCUGACUUUGAAUGUUGAGUGCACGCAUUUCAUUUUUCCUUUCCAGAUCUCUCGUCUGCUGCUGGUACAAUUCCUGUCCAUGCUGCCAAAACAGGGAGAAAAAGGGUCACUCAUUCCCUCUCUUGGUUUGCUUUUCAUACCAGAUCUGGACUCCUGCAGCAGGGGCAGGCACAGGCUGCCCCUCUCUCUCUGCUCCUCAGGAUGCUGCAGACCUUAGCUGGGAUCCCCCUUGAUGCUGCAUCUUUCCCAGCUCACUCAGCCCCUCCCAGCUUCCUUUCUGCUGUUCCCCGACCUCCUGCAGCUCCACUCCAGUGCUCCUUUGGGGAGGAGCUGCCAGAACUGCAGCCAGGAUUUCAAGUGCACGCUAAGCAGGAUUCAGGCAGUGCCAGGAGGAUGUGCUCUCCAUCAGGGAGGAAGGGAAGAGCAAACACCCCCAGCCUUUCUUUCCCUGGGGCUGGGCUGACAGGAGUGGUUUUCCACCUCUCCUGUGUAGAGUUUCCAUGGCUCCAUCCCUGAGAGCCUCACUGCCCUCUCUGGGAGCAGCAAUGGCCAGGUCAGUCUGUCAUCCUCUGCUGCCACUCAGGACGAGUUCUCCCCUUGCAGGCACACGUCCUGGUGGGGAUCAGCACUUGGCUUUCCUCUCCUCUCUCCCCACUGGCUGCUCUCACAUGGCCAAGGCCAAACAGCUUUCUAUUAACAGCAAACUUGGGACUCUCCCCCCUCCUUCCAGAUCCAGAUAUUUAGAAAUCUGAUCAUGGGUUUGGACACCAGGAAUUCCCCAAACCAUGCAAUGUCAAUAGGGACAGUGAGGACAUUGAGAACUAAAGGUUCUAGGGCACAGAAGCCCAGCAUGGAGGAAAAUCAGCAGCCUCAGCAUUAAGUGGCUUCACCAUGACUACAGCAUCUUCUCCUCCUUAUUCAGAAGAAUGGAAUUACAAAAGUUAUACUGGAAAAAGGCGCCCCUUAGAACUGUGAACACAAGGUCCCAACAUAACUAGGAAAUGGCCUUUAGUGGCAUCUGCCAAUCUCACCAGCACAUCCUUCCUUUCCUUCUCCAUGAUUCCCAAUUUCUUCUUCAGAGAUUCCACCUCCUGACGAAGAGUCACAGACUCUUCCCAUCUUUCAGUGGCCUCUUUCUCCAGGGCAGUUACACGAGAAAUGUGCUUGGCUUCUUCCUUCCACCAGUCUGCAGCAGGAAAGGGGAAGGAGAAGUAGAAGGGGAAAAGCAAAGCAAAGCCAAACUGAUGUGCAUCCUGCAAAGACAACAGCACUGUCUUCUCUGCUUGCCUGUUUUUGCCAGGCCCCAAGCCCACGAAGGUUCCAAAGCUGACAGAAAUGAAGGAAAGUUCCCAGUAGAGAAAAAGGCAGGAAUGAAAGGGGCAAGGUUCAGAGGGAUAGGAAAGUGUGUUUGCUCUUGGCCUUGUGCAGAGUGAGCAAGGCAAGAGAGAUGAAGGAGAGGGGAUGCCUGUGCAGGCCUGCUCCAGAGAGGCCAAUAGCCUGGAGGCUCUGGCAGGGCCUGGAUUUUGGGGGAAUGGAGCUGAGGCAUCUAGCUACAGCUCCUCAGCUGGUGAGACAGCAUGGGGCAGUGAGUGGCAGAGGAGAAGCUGUACCUUGCUCACAUUCCUCCAACUCCUUCUGCAGCUCCAGGUUGCAGGCUCUGAGGUUGUCUCUCUGAGCCUCUGUUUUCCUCAGCUCCAGCUCCACAGCCUUACACUGUGUGGCCAAGGCAAGAGCUUUGUCUUCAGAGCUCUGGAGCUUCACACGCAGCUCAGACACCUCAGCCUCCAGGACGUGCACAGAGUCCCUCAAAGAGCGUUCUCCUGCUCGAGACUCUUCCAGCUCCUUCAGCAGCUUCUUCUGUCGAGUUGCCUGGGAAGCCUCCAUCUGCAGCACUGCGUCCUGCAGGGCCAGGAUCUGGAAGAUGGAUGCACACAGCCUCAGGGACAGGGCUGCUCCUGAGGGAGCAGAGUGGGCCGCAGGGAGAGCAACAAAGGAGAAAAGAUUUCAGGCAAAAAACAUGUCAAAACCAGAAGGCACAGAAGCAAGGAUUCCAAUGGAGAGAAAUGUAGAGAAAACAAGUAAGGGAGGCACUGGGCAUCCUUGGGCGGCAGCUCUGAACAGCGGCUCAACUGGCUGUGCUGGAAGUGCCCUGCCCAGCCUGCCACAGCCACCUCUGUGUCCCCACAUUGCUCAGUGCCCGGCACAGGCCCACACUCUGUCUGGGACAGCACUGCUAACAGAGGGACAGAGAAGCCCCAGAGGAGUCUGCUGCUGCUUCUCUUCCCAGACUUCCUGCUGGGACCCGGGAGAGGAUGGGGGAAAACUUCUGCAGCAGACACCAAAUCCAGCCUCAGGAUGCAGCAGCAGCCCCGGGCAGAACACGGCAGCUGUGGAUGCUGCUGGGAGGGGAAGGAGGUUGGAGCCUCCAAGCCAAAGGUGCUGUUGUGUGUCCCUGGAGAAGAGGAUGCCACUGCACAGCUUACCUGCGUGUUGAGCUCCCGCAGUUGUCCAGCACGGUUGGAAGAGAGCUGUUCGGCCAGCUGAAGGGCAGAUUGACACUGAGACACCUGAUUGUUCAGUGCCAGGUUCUGCUCUUCCAGCGAUCUGAGGCACACAUUCUUCUCCUCCAGAGACAGAAUCAGGCUAGAAGGGAAGCAAGCAACUCAUUACUAACUGAUAUCACAUGUGCAGGGUGGCAGGGACCCUGCUUGACCCCCUGCAGGCAGCUGGGGACAUUUGAUGAGGAAGGAUGCAACAGAGACAUUCUUGUUUCUGGGCUGCCUCCGAGGGCAAUCUGGCCUCGAUCAGCAAUCAGGGCCUUAAGAUGGUUCUGCCCAGAAAUAGCAUCAGAUGCCAGGCUGAUCCAGAUCCCAAAGGCUUCAAGUUACAGUACCCAAGGUGGAGCUGAUGGAUGUAUCCAGCUCCUUACAGCGCAGCUCGGCCAGUGACAACACACCCACCUAACCACAGUGUCAACACACCCACCUAACCACACAAUACACCCUAGAGGGAAAGAGCCCCCCUAAAAAUCUUUGUCUUCAGAAGAACUCUGUCUGAAGGCUUAAAAGAAAAGAAAAUGAAACACAACAUCCAGAAAAUCAGAUGUGAUUGCAUGGAGAGUUCAGAAUCUGCCAUUCAGGAAAUGCUGCCAGAGUCCCUGGCAGGUGCAAAGAAGGCAAAGAGGGAAUCCAUUCACCACAAUGCAGAGUCCCACAGGCUUUCAUUUACCUGGCUUUUUCCUUCUCUAGGGCAUUCACUGACGCCUGCAGUUCUGAAUUCUGCUGAGCCACUUCUUCCCAGUGACUCUGUUCCCUCUCCAAGUUCUGCAGAUGCUCCUGCAGCUGCUUGUUCUGAUGUUCUGCCUCCUCCAGCAAUUUCUGGAUGUGCUCAAUCUCCAACAUCUUCUGCCUGGACUCUUCCUGGGCCUCCUUCACAUCUUGCUGGGCUCUCUGCACAGUCAUUUCCUGGCAUUCUCGGGAGGCUUCCAGCUGAGAUGUCAACUCUUCCACCUCCAGUCAAAGAGAACAAAGCAGUCAGAGGCUACAGCCACAGCUUCUCACUCUCAGCCACAGCAAGGCUGUGAGCAAAGGUAAAGGACAAUUUCCAUUUCUCCCUGUCCUGAGAGCACCAGAUUCACAAAGCAUAUGGACAACUUGUUUCAGUCUCUCAGUGGCCCACCACCAAGGGCACCUGAAAAAGCACCUGCCAAGCCAAGGCUAGCAAGAAGAGGCCAGCAGGAAUCCAUGCUGGUGGUUGCUGGCCAACAGCGCAGAGGACUAGCCCAGCUGUCCUGAGCAGCAGCUGACAUUCAGCAGAGGAUUGAGUGUCCCCCAGAGCAGCUGCCAUGGAGCUCCCAGAGCAGGAGACAGCCCCAGGGCUCACCCCAGCAGCUGCUGCUCUGCCAUGGAAAAGCAAAAAGGCCACAGACCCCUGGCUUCAUGACUGCAGUGUCACUGCAGUUUUACUCACCUGCUUUUGUAGAGCCUCCCUCUGCUCAAGGAGGAGAUUCAUUUCCUCUUUGAGGCCUUGUAGCUCUUCCUCAUGCCUCCUCUGCACUGCCUGGACUUCUCUGUGAGCCUCCUGUAGCUCAUCCUGCAGAUUUGCCUUGAUGGUCUGGCAACAAAAAGCAGAGCAACUCCCUGGGACCUGCCCUCAGGCUCACCUCUUUCCAUGUGCUGCCCCAAAAUCCCAUUCCCUCUGCUGCUUCUUUUGGCUUCUCUCCCCAGCUCUGCUUCACUGCAAGCCUUCCUUCCUGGGGCUGAGCUCUGGAGCUUACCAGGCUCUGUGCUCCCAGGGCCUGAAGCAGCCCUUGCUUCCUCAGUCCCAGGAGCUGCCUUUUGUGCCCUGGUCACUGCCCUGUCCUCUGUAGCCUGCCUACUCACACUCACCUGCCCCUUCUCUUGCUGCUCUUUCACCUCCUGCCUGAGCUGCUGGACCUGCUGGCGGGCUCGGCUGAGCUCUCCCUGAGUUUGGAGCAGUGCCUCUGCUAAAGCACUCUUCUCCUCCUGCUCUUCCAGCAGGACCUGCACAGAAGGAAACAGCAGAGGCCUUCACACUUCUCCUGCAACAUCCUUGUGGCAAGAAGCAAAGACUGAUGGGCUCACGUGCUCUCAGAGCACUUGGCUGCUGCUGCCCUGGGCCACUGCCUGCUCUGGGGGAGACACAGCUUCCCAGGAAGUGACUUAAAACACAGCCCAGAAGACAUCUCUGGGUUACUGUUCAGAAAUACUCCAGGCAAGCCUUUAAAAAGAUCUUUCUCCUGUCAGCAUUCCUGCUACACCCUCCCCAUGCCCACUAAAGAAAAGUCCUACAAACUCACCUUGGCCAUGAAUAUAUACGAGUACACACACAAUUAGAAAAGAGAAACUGGAAAAAGGCGCCCCUUAGAACUGUGAACACAAGGUCCAAACGUAGCUAGGAAAUGGCCCUUUGUGGCGAUCUUCAAUUCUCACCAGCACAUCCUUCCUUUCCUUCUCCAGGUCCUCCAAUUUCCUCUGCAGAGAUUCCACCUCCUGACGAAGAGUCACAGACUCUUCCUGCCUUUCAGUGGCCUCUUUCUCCAGGGCAAUUUGGCGAGAGAUUUGCCUGGCUUCUGCCAGCACCCACUCUGCAGCAGAGAAGGGGAAGGAGAAGUAGAAGGGGAAAAGCAAAGCAAAGCCAAACUGAUGUGCAUCCUGCAGAGACAACAGCACUGUCUUCUCUGCUUGCCUGUGUUUGCCAGGCCCCAAGCCCACGAAGGUUCCAAAGCUGACAGAAAUGAAGGAAAGUUCCCAGUAGAGAAAAAGGCAGGAAUGAAAGGGGCAAGGUUCAGAGGGAUAGGAAAGUGUGUUUGCUCUUGGCCUUGUGCAGAGUGAGCAAGGCAAGAGAGAUGAAGGAGAGGGGAUGCCUGUGCAGGCCUGCUCCAGUGAGGCCAAUAGCCUGGAGGCUCUGGCAGGGCCUGGAUUUUGGGGGAAUGGAGCUGAGGCAUCCAGCUACAGCUCCUCAGCUGGUGAGACAGCAUGGGGCAAUGAGUGGCAGAGGAGAAGCUGUACCUUGCUCACAUUCCUCCAACUUCUUCUGCAGCUCCAGGUUGCAGGCUCUGAGGUUGUCUCUCUGAGCCUCUGUUUUCCUCAGCUCCAGCUCCACAGCCUUACACUGUGUGGCCAAGGCAAGAGCUUUGUCCUCAGAGCUCUGGAGCUUCACACGCAGCUCAGACACCUCAGCCUCCAGGACGUGCACAGAGUCCCUCAAAGAGCGUUCUCCUGCUCGAGACCCUUCCAGCUCCUUCAGCAGCUUCUUCUGUCGAGUUGCCUGGGAAGCCUCCAUCUGCAGCACUGCGUCCUGCAGGGCCAGGAUCUGGAAGAUGGAUGCACACAGCCUCAGGGACAGGGCUGCUCCUGAGGGAGCAGAGUGGGCCGCAGGGAGAGCAACAAAGGAGAAAAGAUUUCAGGCAAAAAACAUGUCAAAACCAGAAGGCACAGAAGCAAGGAUUCCAAUGGAGACAAAUGCAGAGAAAACAAGUAAGGGAGGCACUGGGCAUCCUUGGGCGGCAGCUCUGAACAGCGGCUCAACUGGCUGUGCUGGAAGUGCCCUGCCCAGCCUGCCACAGCCACCUCUGUGUCCCCACAUUGCUCAGUGCCCGGCACAGGCCCACACUCUGUCUGGGACAGCACUGCUAACAGAGGGACAGAGAAGCCCCAGAGGAGUCUGCUGCUGUUUCUCUUCCCAGACUUCCUGCUGGGACCCGGGAGAGGAUGGGGGAAAACUUCUGCAGCAGACACCAAAUCCAGCCUCGGCCUCAGGGUGCAGCAGCAGCCCCGGGCAGAAUACAGCAGCUGUGGAUGCUGCUGGGAGGGGAAAGAGGUUGGAGCCUCCAAGCCAAAGGUGCUGUUGUGUGUCCCUGGAGAAGAGGAUGCCACUGCACAGCUUACCUGCGUGUUGAGCUCCCGCAGUUGUCCAGCACGGUUGGAAGAGAGCUGUUCGGCCAGCUGAAGGGCAGAUUGACACUGAGACACCUGAUUGUUCAGUGCCAGGUUCUGCUCUUCCAGCGAUCUGAGGCACACAUUCUUCUCCUCCAGAGACAGAAUCAGGCUAGAAGGGAAGCAAGCAACUCAUUACUAACUGAUAUCACAUUUUAUCAACUCUUAGGACUUGCAUCAGCUCAGGGAAAAACUGCUCUGUCUGAUGAGGUUUGUCUGAACAACUUGGCUGUUUGUUCCUCAUGCAGUCCCAGCCCAGCAUGUGCCUACUCUGCUUUGUCCCUGAAGGAACAGUGAGUUCCUGCCUACAUGCCCUACCUUCUUUUUGAGAUGGAAAUGUGAAUUCAAACAUAACAAAGUCUUGUCAUGAAGACAUUAGGGGAGAGGAACAAUUUCCUUCUGACUAACCAGGCUCCAAACAGGGAGGUUUGGUCAACAUGGAAGAGACAUUUGCUUCCCCCACCUUACACAUCCAGGUAGGAUGAGCAGCACCCUACAGCCAGGGGAUCUCUGGCAAGAUCCCUAAGAUUUACCAGCACCCCUCCUAAUUUCACCUAGAGAAACAAUGGCUAAAGUGGCAACCGAGGCUUGGAGCACAACCUGAUGGAAGAUGCAGAAGGCUCCAGGCAAGCAGGAGUGCCCUGCCUUUCCUUUGUCUUCUUGGAGGAAGAAUCCUGUGGCACUGAAGCCUGGCAGGACUUGAUCAGCUGCAGGAGCCCCCCAUACCUUGGUCCUGUUUCUUGCAUUCUUGGCACAGUCAGAAAUGCCUGUGACUGUGCAGGGUGGCAGGGACCCUGCUUGACCCCCUGCAGGCAGCGGGGGACAUUUGAUGAGGAAGGAUGCAACAGAGACAUUCUUGUUUCUGGGCUGCCUCCGAGGGCAAUCUGGCCUAGAUCAGUAAUCAGGGUCUUAAGAUGGUUCUGCCCAGAAAUAGCAUCAGAUGCCAGGCUGAUCCAGAUCCCAAAGGCUUCAAGUUACAGGACCCAAGGUGGAGCUGAUGGAUGUAUCCAGCUCCUUACAGCACAGCUCGGUCAGUGACAACACACCCACCUAACCACACAAUACACCCUAGAGGGAAAGAGCCCCCCUAAAAAUCUUUGUCUUCAGAAGAACUCUGUCUGAAGGCUUAAAAGAAAAGAAAAUGAAACACAACAUCCAGAAAAUCAGAUGUGAUUGCAUGGAGAGUUCAGAAUCUGCCAUUCAGGAAAUGCUGCCAGAGUCCCUGGCAGGUGCAAAGAAGGCAAAGAGGGAAUCCAUUCACCACAAUGCAGAGUCUUACAGGCUUUCAUUUACCUGGCUUUUUCCUUCUCUAGGGCAUUCACUGACGCCUGCAGUUCUGAAUUCUGCUGAGCCACUUCUUCCCAUUUACUCCAGUCCGUCUCCAAGUUCUGCAGAUGCUCCUGCAGCUGCUUGUUCUGAUGUUCUGCCUCCUCCAGCAGCUUCUGGAUGUGCUCAAUCUCCAACAGCUUCUGCCUGGAGUCUUCCUGGGCCUCCCUCCCAUCUUGCUGGGCUCUCUGCACAGUCAUUUCCUGGCAUUCUCGGGAGGCUUCCAGCUGAGAUGUCAACUCUCCCACCUCCAGUCAAAGAGAACAAAGCAGUCAGAGGCUACAGCCACAGCUUCUCACUCUCAGCCACAGCACAGGCUGUGAGCAAAGGUAAAGGACAAUUUCCAUUUCUCCCUGUCUUGAGAGCACCAGAUUCACAAAGCAUAUGGACAACUUGUUUCAGUCUCUCAGUGGCCCACCACCAAGGGCACCUGAAAAAGCACCUGCCAAGCCAAGGUUAGCAAAAAGAGGCCAGCAGGAAUCUAUGCUGGUGGUUGCUGGCCAACAGCGCAGAGGACUAGCCCAGCUGUCCAGAGCAGCAGCUGACAUUCAGCAGAGGAUUGAGUGUCCCCCAGAGCAGCUGCCAUUGAGCCCCCAGAGCAUGAGUCAGCCCCAGGGCUCACCCCAGCAGCUGCUGCUCUGCCAUGGAAAAGCAAAAAGGCCACAGACCCCUGGCUGCAUGACUGCAGUGUCACUGCAGUUUUACUCACCUGCUUUUGUAGAGCCUCCCUCUGCUCGAGGAGGAGAUUCAUUUCCUCUUUGAGGCCUUGUAGACCUUCCUCAUGCCUCCUCUGCACUGCCUGGACUUCACUGCGAGCCUCCUGCAGCUCAUCUUGCAGCUCUGCCUCCACUUGCUUCCUGGUCAUCUGCAGCUGUGAUAUCUGCUGCUGAGCAGCAAACAGCCUGGAUUGCAGUCUCUCCUUUGCUGACCUACAAGUUACAAUUGUGGACACACAUGAGUUGCUUGCUCCAGAUGCCCACAGCCCGGUAUUCCAGGACAACGUGGCUCAAGAUCCCCACACCUGAGUAUGGAAAAUGGGUCACCUGGAAACUCAUCUAGAGAAGGCACAUCUGGGCCAUUUCAAGAGGAGAGCAGGGCCCUCUGAGGGACUGCCCAGGCCUUCCUUAUGGCCUGGCAUAGCACAGACUGCCCAGCCCAAGCUGGCCUCAACAGCCAAACCUUCAGUUGCUGUUCCUGACCUAUGACACUGGGUAGCUGUGCCCAAACAGGCUGGAGCAAGGAGCAAAAGCCCAGCCUUGCUCACAGCCUUUCUCUCAUCAGCACUUCCAAGCUGCUCUGCAGGGGGAGAGAACAGAUUCUUGUCCUGGCUGACUCCUGACUUUUUAAUGCUCUUGAUAAUGGACAUAAAGGUACAUCAUCCUCCAGACACUCUGUAUUUAAGAGGCUUCAGAACUACUUUGCAAAUACAGUAAAAUCUCAUGGUCAGGGCAGCACUUGUAAAAAAUCACAACAGCCUUUUGCCUGAACAACUACCUGAAUGCAGAGACUGCACUUUCAACUCUUGCAUGGUCAUGGAGUAGACUUGCCACCUUUAUUUUAGUGUUGCUGGCUAAGCAGACAGUAGCCCAAGGGACUUGUCCUUCCUUACAGAGUGAGAGGGACCAUCCAAAGGCACCUUGGAGGCUUUGGCAGCUGGCUGCCCAUCAACAAUCAUCAAGAGUGCCCAGAGGCUGUUGAGAAUUCCAAAGAGCUUUCCCUGCUGCUCUCUAACCCGCUCUAUGUCCUGUCCCACACUUCUCAAGAGUGUUCUUGGAAGUAGAAAUGCCUCAAGAUUUUCAGCAGGAGCCUUUGGCUUCACCCUGAAUGGCAGUGUGCUACGCCCAAAGUGCCAAGGUAAGAUCCUGGAAUGCUGAAGAUGAAGCUUCCUGAUCUGAAGAUCAGGAUCAUGUCAAGCUACUUGGAAAGGAACGAGGGAUGUUCAAUGCCCAGAACAAGGAACCAAACCCAAGAGAAACCUGAGGUUUCACUCAUCUGCAUGGUUGAACUACUACUCAGUUCAGGGCUGGGUGGAUUGCUUUUGACAUCCCACAGGAGCGUGCUCAGUGGCACAAACAGGAGCCCAAGGCUCACGAGAACUUUGCUGGCUUUAGGUGUCAGAAGAAUAACCUUCAUUUUGUGUUUUUUUUGUUUUUUUCUUGAGACACUUCCAUAUUCGGUCCACAGAAUGUAAAAACAUCUGAAAAGGCUCAGCUCCCUGCCUUUACCUGGUCUCUGCCAGCUGCCUGGCAAGGUCUUGUCGGAGCCACUCGGUGGCUGCCAGUCGGCCCUCAAGGUCAGCCUUCUGGCCCAGCAGCUCCUCCUCUUGCCACACCUGGGCCACUUCAUGCCCUUGAUCAGAGGAUUCCUGGCUCAGAUACUCCAGAGACCAGCUGGAUGACUCUUCCUCCAGAGAAUCCUGCAAGUGGGACAAGGUACAGCUCGAGCCCUUCCUCAAGUGCCCUGUGCAGAGCCAGCCAGUGCCACCUCGCAGGCAGCCAGAGGACAAGGAGCACCUGUGCCCUGGGCUCAAAGUUUCCCCAGCUCCGUUCCCUGUUUUAGAGGCUCUGUGGCUGCCCAAAGCCAUACAUUUUGCAGAAGCAUGCAACACUUUGCUGAUGAACGUGCAUAUCCCUGCCUAAGAAAUGCGUGUGCCAUCUUGAGCCAGGUGUGCACAGCAGUGUGCCUGUCCUCUACUGCCAGAAAGAGCAUCUGGGCUGAUCUGGCUGCCACAACUGCCACUCCCACAGGUGCUGCCCAGCAAUAAGGUGUUCAGAGCCGUGCUAACAUCAUCCCUCUCUUGCUCCAGCAGAUCCCUCUGAAGCUGCAAUUCCUCCAAUGUCUGCCUCUUGACUUCCAGCUGCCUCUGCAAUGAGGGCUCUUUUCCCUCGAGCGCAGCCAAGUCCUCCACUGUACAAGAAGGGGCAAGAUGAGUUUUCAAGGGAAAACCAGUCUCCUUUCCAAAACCAACCUCCAUCAUGUCCUGCUGCUCUGUCUUUUCUGCCUGGGCUGAUGCUUCCUUCUGCUGCUUGGUGCUCUUCUGAUGCAGACAAAAGGCUCCUGGCUCUGGGAUUCCGGUGCAUUGCAGCAGAAUUUCCCUGGACUUCUCAAGGUUUGCACAGUCACUGCAGAGACAAGGCUCAGUCAGAAGAAACAAGAGGCCUGAAGAGUCAGCAGUGCAAUUUUCAGCACUCCAGGAUGGAGCUGGGGGCAGUGGGCUAAGGAAGACCUUGGUCUUUCCCUCCCAAGGAAAUCCUGCAGAGGCAAAGGGAAAGGAAGGCAGGAUUAUGCCUUCUUUCAGUAAGAAGCAGUGGCUGGGCAGGGGCACGCAAAGAACAGAAUUCAGGGAAGCAGCACAGCGAGAAGGAGUCUUCUAUUCCAGCAUGGCUCUGCAUCUCCUAGACAGCCUUGGGAGGCACAGUAGAGCAUGAAAAACCCAGACAGGACAAUGCUCGAGAGCCACACUGAGGCCUACACAUGGUAGGCAGGUGAUUUCUUCUCCAGGACACCUCUGACCUCCCAGGCCUGGAAGCAGAUUGCCUCUGGAAUGCAGGAGGAGGAGGAGGAAAUGCUCACCUACUGAUUUCUUCUAGCAGAGAGUCUAUGAUUUGGUAUUGGCUUCUGAUCCUCUGGGUUCUCUCCUCUAUUUGGUCAAACUGUUGCCACAUGCGCCCACAAUUCUCUGUAGCUUCCCGAGCCAAUUCAAAGGGAUGCUGCUCAUCAGUGGAUGUCAGAGUGGAGAGGAUGUUCCCAGGAUUGUGGGUGGAAAUGAUGGAAUUGGCCAUGCUGUCACCGUUGUCUGCCAGCACCUGAAAGCCCACAUCCAGCUGUUAGUCAGGUAUUGUGUUCCUAUUCCAAAGUAGCACUGAAAUGCCUCUUCUGAUCCCACAAGAACCAGUGUCCAUUCAUGGAGAGCCAGUUUCAAAAUGCCAGCCAGCUCAGCACAGUUUACUCACCUCAGGGGGUCUGGAGGAACGUUCCUGGUGAGAAAGCCCUCGAGCUCCCUGCAAGUGCACAGGGAAGAGCACACUCAGACUGCAUGGCUGCCCCUGAGGCAGUUGCCUCUAAGUGCUUCCCAGCCUGUCCCAGAGCACAGCACUUCCAGCUGAGCUCUUCCUCCCCUCCGUGGCAAUAUUUUCAGCCCAGCAGUUUGACAGCAGCACAAACAAACAUGCUGGAAGGUGUCUCAUCACUUCUAAGAACACGAGAAGGGGAGCUGCCCAGAGCCCAAUCCAUCCUGGCCGUGAACACCCCCAGGGAUCCAGGGGCAGCCACAACUUCUCUGGGCAACCUCAAGCCUGGGUGCCAGGGCCUCAGCACCCUCAGAGGGCAGAAUUCCCUGCCAACAUCCCAUCCAUCCCUGUCCUGUCUUGGUGGGAAGGCUUGUCCUGUCCCUGCAGGUCCCUGGCUUAAGUCCCUCUCCAGCUCUCUUGCAGCCCUUUCAUGCAUUGGAAGGGGCGCUAAGGUCACCCUGGAACCUUCUCCAGCCUGGACAACCCCAACUCUUGCAUCCUUUUCCCUUGGCACAGGUGCUCCAGCCCUUGGAGCAUCUUCCUAUCAUCCUUCUGACCUCUUCUGGGCCACUGGGGAUCAUUUUGGAGAUGUCUGGGAGAAACUCAUUCUUGACUCUGGGAAGCGCUGACGCUGUGCUGUAAUUUGGGUGAGGGGAAGGCAAUGAAAAGCUGCUGCCUUGUUUGUGCCCAUGGCCUCCAGUGGGACAAGGACAGAGGAGGAGAUGUGGCUGUGCUCUGGGAUAUCCAGGAGCCCCCUAUUCCCUCCCAGGCCUGUCCCCAGGGCAAGCACCACAGCUGCUGCCAGCUCUGGAACAGCCAACUGUUAAUCCCUUGCUAAUCCCAAAGGGAACUGUUCCCUGAGGCACAGCCCAGGCCCACCCAGGCCCCUGCAGGGCUUGGCACAAGGAGAGCAGCGGCCUUGACACUCACCCUCCGGGUCUCCAUCCGCCCCUUGGCACCAGCAGUGAGGAAGCAGCAGUGACCAAAAGCCCUUGGCCUUAGCAGGGUCUAAACCCCGGUGACCAACGGCCCUUGGUCUUUGCAGGGUCUACACCCCAAUAUCCAAAGGCCCUUGGCCUUUGCAGGGUGUACACCCCAAUAUCCAAAUGCCCUUGGCCUUUGCAGGGUCUGAAUCCCAAUAUCCAAAGGUUCUUGGCCUUUGCAGGGUCAAUAGCACACGAGUGCCGUUGGCCUUUGCAAGGUCCAAGCCCCAAAGAGCACGAGCUGUUGGCAGCUCCAGGGUCCAAACCCCAAUAGCCAGGAGCUGCUGAUUGUUGCCAGGAUCCAAUCCCCAGCAUUCUAUGGCCUUUGUGACAGUUGCCAGGGUCAUACCCCCAGCAUUCCAUGGCCUUUGUGAUGGCUGCCAGGGUCCAAACCCCAGCAUUCCAGGGGCUGUUGGAGAGGCCCUCCCUGACUCUCCCCCACCCCAGCUCCCUGCUGCUCCUGGCACAGGCCCUGCCUCCCCUGGGUCCCCAGAGCCCUCCUGGGCAGCUGGGCAGGGACCUGGCUCAUAAGUCAGCGCUAAGGCUCAGCAUUCUCAAACUGCAGGUUCUUUAGGGAUGUGCUUAGUUCCUGAGUCACAGGAAUUCUUCUGUCUUCCCUGACAAAGGGCACAUGAAACAAAAAGCCUAAAAAGUUUCUUGGUGCUUACAAAUAUUCAUGGAAAGUAAAGCUUUGCAUUGAGAACAGCCACAUGUGGAGGAAGAAUGGUGUUUCAUGGGCUUUUCAAAUUUCUACAGAGAAAUGCCAAGAGCUGCAGGUUUUAAGGCUCAUCAAAUAGAUUAAGAACACUGAGACACAACCACAAAUGCAUUUUUCUCUCUGCUUUCUGUUUGGCAUUAUAUCACUAGGUCUUGUAGGCAGAAGAAAAGUCUUGCUGCUUACAUCAAAGAUUCCUUGCUAGGAACAGACCUUCAAGAACCAAAUGGGUCUGCUUGCAGAAGCUUUGGCAGGUACUUUUUGCCCUCAUCUUCGAUAGUGUUCAUCUGUGUCCUAGGGAGGAUUUUUGUGCCCCAGUUGACACGAAUGGGCUUCUGAGCAGGGCACAAAUCCUGCGUGGAAGAGAAGAGCUGCACCUGCCUUCUCUAAGGCCUGUCUCUCCAGAGACAGAUGGCCCAAGGAUGUCACUGCCAAGUUAAGGUUGAGAGCGAUGCAGCUUCAAGUCUCUGCUUCCACAAGAGCAGCUUUGGGCUCCUUGAGCAGAGCUGCAAAGGAGCAGGACAGCUCCUGGUGAAGGUCUGACAGCUCCUGCCUGGUCCUUGCACAGCUCUCAGUGUAGUUCUGCCGGUGCUGUCGGUCUUGGGCCAGCUGUGACUGCAGCAGGGACACCUGAAAGAGGCACAAGGCCCAGCUCAGACAAGCCCAUGCUGGCAGGAGCACCUGCAGCGCCACGGUUCCGGCUCUCGGGGCAGACACAGCCUCCAACUCCAGCCCUCAUCAAUACUCUGCCCUUGGGCAAGGGGAAAGGAACAGGCUCCCAGACAGAACAGAGCUCAGAUGGUCAACAAGUCCAGCUCAAGGCUGGCAAACCCUUCCCACGUACAUCCCUCAGCCACCACCAGGUCUAGUACAGAGACUUCCAACGGGAUUUAGGAACCAUUUGGUGAUUUCCAAAGCACACAUUAGGGCCACUCACCUCUUUCUCCACAGGCUGUGCCUCAGCACGAGGGCUGCUGCUCCCCUGAGCUCAUGGAGGACUCUUCUACUUGAGCUGCUGGGCUGCCAGCCCAGGCAUGAGGGGAAUGUGGUGCUUGGGUUUUUUUGGUGCUUUCUUGAGGCAUUUGAGCACCCCAAGCCCCUGUUUAUCCCCAUUGUGAAAAACAAGGUUCACUCUCCUGUAAAAAUGUAGAAGUUGAAUAAAGGACAAUAAGAGACAAAGAUAAUAAAGCAAAGUUUUGGUGGUGUGUGCUUGGCAUUUAGCCAAGAGCACACCUGCCAUUUCAGA